rnacentral:rRNA from 1 species
GUUUGAUUCUGGCUCAGGAUGAACGCUGGCGGCAUGCCUAAUACAUGCAAGUCGAACGGAGUGAAGCCUUCGGGUUUCAUUCAGUGGCGAACGGGUGAGUAAUACGCAGGGAACCUGGCCAUGGCAGGGGGAUACACUCUGGAAACGGAGCAUAAGACCCCAUAGGCAGUAAGGCGGCAUCGCCUUACUGUUAAAGAAAGCUGAAAGGCUUUGGCGAUGGAUGGACCUGCGGUGCAUUGGCUUGUUGGUGAGGCAACGGCUUACCAAGGCGAUAAUGCAUAGCCGGCCUGAGAGGGCGGACGGCCACACUGGGACUGAGACACGGCCCAGACUCCUGCGGGAGGCAGCAGUAGGGAAUUUUCGUCAAUGGGCGCAAGCCUGAACGAGCAAUGCCGCGUGAGUGAGGAAGGUCUUCGGACUGUAAAGCUCUGUUGCCGGGGAAAAAGGGGAAAUGCAGGAAAUGGCAUUUCAUGGAUGGUACCCGGCCAGAAAGCCACGGCCAACUACGUGCCAGCAGCCGCGGUAAUACGUAGGUGGCGAGCGUUAUCCGGAAUGAUUGGGCGUAAAGGGUGCGCAGGCGGUCUGUUAAGUCUGAAGGCAAAGGGAUGAGCUCAACUCAUUUAUGAUUCAGAAACUGGCAGACUUGAGGACAGGAGAGGGCGGUGGAACUCCAUGUGUAGCGGUAAAAUGCGCAGAGAUAUGGAAGAACACCAGUGGCGAAGGCGGCCGCCUGGCCUGUGACUGACGCUGAGGCACGAAAGCGUGGGGAGCAAAUAGGAUUAGAUACCCUAGUAGUCCACGCCGUAAACGAUGAGGAGCAGGUGUUGGGAGUGAAAUCUCAGUGCCGAAGCCAACGCAGUGACUCCUCCGCCUGGGGAGUAUGCACGCAAGUGUGAAACUCAAAGGAAUUGACGGGGGCCCGCACAAGCGGUGGAGUAUGUGGUUUAAUUCGAAGCAACGCGAAGAACCUUACCAGGUUUUGACAUCGGAUGCGAAGGCGCAGAGAUGCGCUGGAGGCUAUCAUCCAGACAGGUGGUGCAUGGUUGUCGUCAGCUCGUGUCGUGAGAUGUUCAGUUAAGUCUGGCAACGAGCGCAACCCCCGUGGUAUGUUACUAACGCAUUUGGGCGAGGACUCAUAUCAGACUGCCGGUGACAAACCGGAGGAAGGCGGGGAUGACGUCAAAUCAUCAUGCCCCUUAUGACCUGGGCUACACACGUACUACAAUGGCGUCUACAGAGGGAAGCGACCCUGAGAAGGGAAGCGAAACCGGAAAAGGGCGUCCCAGUUCGGAUAGAAGUCUGCAACCCGACUUCAUGAAGAUGGAAUCGCUAGUAAUCGCGGAUCAGCAUGCCGCGGUGAAUACGUUCCCGGGCCUUGUACACACCGCCCGUCAAACCAUGGGAGCCGGCAACGCCCGAAGCCGGUGGCAUAACCUUUUAGGAGUGAGCCGUCGAAGGCGGGGCCGAUGACUGGGGUUAAGUCGUAAAAAGGUAUCC